AUUCAAUGUCAUUCAAAACCAACAGUUCCCAAGCAAAAACUGUCUCAAAAACCGAUCUAACCUUUUGCGCACAUUGUCCUAGUCAAGCGGUCAAACGAUCCGGGAAUUGAAAUCAAGUGACUCAACGAUUAAGUACACGAGCCUGGGACGGCAGUGGUCAACGAGAAGAACACAAAAGAAUUGCUUAUCAAAUAUGGAAAGUACAGGGCGUUAGAGAGCUUUGCAUCCUGGGAAUAAGGGAACCGAACUCUAAGGAGUGCGUAACGAAACCAACGCAGGCGAAAGCGUUGAGUGAGCAACGGAUGGGGAUCACAGCUUGCAGAGGCAGAACAGCAGUGGUAUAAAGGCCCCGAUGGCGAUGAAAACUGGUAGCAAGAUCGAUGAGUCGUCCAUGGAGUAUGGAUUCGGUUGGCGGGGGCCACUGUAAGACCGCUUUGUGUCCGAUUGCAGCGACGGCUGAUCGCUGCCCAGCUUGUCGACAUUCUGCUCGGAAAGCUCCUCUUCAAACUCUUCGUCGUCCAGGUCCUCGUCAUCCUCAUCAAUGUCGUCCCGCUGGUUGCGCACCACCCUCUCUACCUGCUGAGCUUUCUUCUGUUCCGCGUUCAGCUUACCCUCCGGUUUAAUCCUCUCAGUCGCCUCGGUACCAUGCAUUCGUGGCACCUGGGAGAUAUCUCCCUUGAGCAGGGCGAAUGCAUUGAUCUUGGGAUUAUCCAGUGCCCCCUUUAUAAAGUCCAGCCGGAGGCGGCCAUUUCGCACAUCGGACACCUCGCCUUCAUAGUUUAAUCGUCCGUUGUUGAUCUUAAAGUACACAAUCUCGUCGUGUGCCGAGCCCCUGCCCACCUCGUUGUAGAUGUCCAGCUGGCGGACAACCGUGUGCUUGCGGUUUAGGAGCACAUCGAAAACCUUCUUCUGCGGCGCAUCAAAGUAUACCUCACAGAACUUCAUUAUCAAGGCGUAAUCUCCAUCGCCAUCGCUUGGUAAAUCGUACCCAAAUGUAGUGGUGUGAUACCGCUCGGUCCUGUAGAGCACCUCGUCAUGUUCCUGUACCCGGCCGAUCAUCAGCAGGUGUUUGCCGUAGUCCGAAGCUAUUCCAACUCCUUUGAGAGGAUCCGCAUCGUAUUGGACCCCGUUAAGAUCGGUGUGCUCAUCUCCGCCAGCGUUGACCGCGUAUAUAACUUUCAGGGGUUCCGCGGCUGUGAAGGUACCCAUAAGGACGAGCACCAGGAGCACCGACAUCCAGGUCCUUUGGCCACUUGCCCGCAAGUAGUUCCGGAAAAUCCCCGUUUUGCAUGCUACGUUGCACAUGUCAGCAAUUGUUGUUGUUUUUUUGCGCCGGAGUUCGCCUUGCUGCAUUUCCCUUGCUUCGCGAAGCCUCUUUUCUGGCCGCUUUAUUUUCCGGUAUUGAAUCCUCGGCAAAUUCCGUCGCCUAGCUAUUACUGACAGGUUUUCGGGGCCGGAAUAAAUCCAUUUACAAACUCGUAUAGAAAUAUACAGUGCAGCCUUUUCGCAUGUACCAGAGAACUAGAGAGAACUGCUCGUUGGAACCAGUAUUUUUGAAGCAGUGGUAUUUUCUAAAUGCUUUUUAUACGCAUAAUACAAAUCUAACAGUAUUUCUUUAUUCGCCGAAUUUGAAGGUUGUCACGCAAUUCG
ensembl:ncRNA asRNA:CR43809 antisense RNA:CR43809